UUGCUGUUUGUUUAUAAGUGUUUCUUUUUUUUAUUUAUUUGAGUUAUUAAAACGAAUAAAGAUGUUAAAAAGCAACAACUUUAAUAGUAUUAUCGAUGAUUUGUCUGCGUUUAAUCAGACAGAUUGUUUUGAAGCAUUACGACCCACAACUCUAGAGUUGGAAAAUACAACAGCAAGCCUCAGUGUAGAGUCAACCUUAGAUGCAAUAAGAAAUAAAAAUUCAGCUGAAACCAACCAAAAUGUUGAAGGCUUGCCAUCAUCCAGUUCGGCCUCAAUGGCAAAUAAAAGCUCAUUGGAUAAUUCUGAAGCCUCCUUAGCAUCUAUGCAACUUGCCACCGGAUUUAUGCAAGCCUUUUCUCCACCAUUAGCAAAAGCCAGAACACAGUUAAAGGAAUUGAUAGGCAAGCAGAAUAAAAUCUAUAUUGACUUAUCAGAGGAAAAAUUCAAGUUGGAUAAUGGUGAAGUAGCCAAAUUACAAGAUAUGAUGAAUGAUGUCAAGUUAUAUAGGGAAAAGCUAUUGAAAAUCAAAAAACAAAUGCAGAACAUCUAUCAACGUUCGAAAGUUUUGAAGAAAAGAGCUUUAAACAUACAAAGUUUCAAAGAAAAGGAACUCCAAAGAAAACUACAGAAACAGCAACAGGAGGAAUCAUUGAUAGCUAAACAACAAACGCAAUAACAUUCCUUUUAAAAACAGCUACUACAGAACAUUGUGUGUAUAGCAUAUCUUUAGACAUAAGUAUAAGUGAAAAUAUUUUUAAAAUGGUCUGGAUGUAGUUAACAUAUACUAGCUUAAAGAUUUUUUAUACGUCCAUAUAUCCCUGAAUUCAUUGCGACAUAAAAAAUCAAACAUUGUUUAACAUUUUGCCUGGUAUCAGAAAACACCCUUGAAUGUGUGCUAUACCUAUCACACGGUAACAACAACAAUGUCCAUUUAAGCUAAUAUUGCAGAGGAUAUACUUUUGGCCCCAUACAUUUAAAACCAAGGCUGAAGCCUGAGACCAUAAUUAACCUACACCUUCGUUCGUUAGCUGGCCAUUACAGAACAUUUGUUCCAAUAGUCAAAAGUAGAAUAGAUUUCCAAGCGCCUCGAUCUUCUUCGCGCCUUCUCCAAUCUCUGACACCUAGUUUCGAGAUGUCUUUCUCCACCAAAUGCCAAAUGUCUUGAAUUGUUGUGGAGAUAUUCGACAUACAAAAUUAUUUGCUUGAUUUUUUACCAAGGCUGACCACGUAUUUUGUGAUUUGCGAAGAUAUUUCUUUAGUUAGGUUUUAUUGAGCAAUAAAAUAUUGGAGUGUUUGAAAGCUUCAACAUAAAAAUAAUAUGCUAUGACUACUAUAUCAUAAGAAAUAAUAUUUAGUGCAUCUUAUUCCAUAUUUAAUUAAUAUAUACUUUUCCUUGUAAUUUGAUGUUAUAGGCUUGUAGACCAAUUUGAGCGCAAAGUUCCGUCAAUCUUGGCUUUGCCAUCAAAUCGGCUAGUUGAGUGCAGCAUUUGUUGAAUUUUAAUUUCCUUUUCAGCGACUUUUUCUCGAACAGUGAAAUGCUUCAAGCUAAUAUGCUUGGUUCGCUUAUGAUACUCUCCGGAUUCUGUGUUAGUCGUACAGCGGCCGAAUUAUCAAUAUAUAAGUUUGGAACUUCCUUUAAUGUGUAAGUUCUAAAUACAAUCGUUUGAGCCAUAUAACUUCUUUAGUUGCUUCAGCUCUCAAUCUCAGCUACAGUUGUGGAACACAGAAAAAAUAUUGGCUUAAAUUUGACCAUUUAAUAAUGGUAUUGGAGACCACCGUAGGGCAGAGGUUAGCAUGUCCGCCUGGGUCCGAAUCCUGGCGAGACCAUCAGAAAAAAUUUCCGGCGUUGAUUUUCCCCUCCUAAUGCUGGCAACAUUUGUGAGGUACUAUGCCAUGGAAAACUUCUCUCCAAAGAGGUGUCGCACUGUGGCACGCCGUUCGUACUCGGCUAUAAAAAGGAGGCCCCUUAUCAUUGAGUUUAAACUUGUAUCGGACUGCACUCAUUGAUAUGUGAGAAGUUUGUCCCUGUUCCUUAUUUUUUGAUAUUUUGAUUUAUAAAAAACAUUUCUAACAACGUGAUUAAUUGCUUCGAUAAUGUUCGACUUUGAAAAUUCUAUUUUCCAUUGAAUCUUGACGUAUGAUUGCUACAAAAAACUAAUGUUUAACGAAUUCAAAAUGUUAUUUAAUGGCAUAAACAAUGUUAUGUGAAUAGAAGUGCAAAUGGGCCACUUAUAUGUACUUAUACACCACUGAAUGCAAAAGCAAAAUUUCCUGCCUCUCACACAAUAAACGAUUGACGAGCCUGGAUGAAAAUAAACAUAAACAUCGAGAAUGUGGAUUUUUUACGGCUUCAUAAAUUUCAUAAUCUUUAAAUAAAUUGAAUUGGGAGAGUGCAAAGCAGAUAAAUCGAGAAGGUGAAAAUAUAAAUGGAAUAAUUAUACAUGCGAAAUGCUCCCCAAAAUGGAGAAUGUGGUAGAAAUUAAAUGGAAACACAACUGCAUUCCUUCAUGUAGAUCAAUAUUUCGUGAUAUUAUAUACGAAAUGCUAAGGUUGGCAUAUAUUACGAAUUAUUUCAGUAUAAAAGUGGCGCCGGCGAUGAAAAAUGUAUGAGAAGAAAAGGAAGAUAAUACCCGAGAGAACAACGUACAGUCCAAUCCCUUCCCUAAUAUUCCGUCUACCUCCACAUAUUGCUAUUUUAAUGACUUUGGUUUAAAGCCUCAGUGACAGCAGUAAAGCCUCAGUGACCUCAUCUACAAGUCCGAUUUCAGCAAAUCUUUUAAUUGAAUAUACAAAUUUCCUAAUUA